rnacentral:tRNA from 1 species
GGCAAGAUGGCCGAGCGGUCUAAGGCGCUAGUUUUAGGCACACUAGUUCGAAAGAGCGUGGGUUCGAAUCCCACUCUUGUCA